AGGACGAACGCUGGCGGCGUGCCUAAUACAUGCAAGUCGAACGGUCUUUCUAUGGAAGCUUGCUUCCACUGAGAAGAUAGUGGCGAACGGGUGAGUAACACGUGGGUAACCUGCCCAUAAGAGGGGGGAUAACAUCCGGAAACGGGUGCUAAUACCGCAUAGUUUUCUUGAUCGCAUGAUCGGGAAAGGAAAGACGGCCUUUGUGCUGUCGCUUAUGGAUGGACCCGCGGCGUAUUAGUUAGUUGGUGAGGUAACGGCUCACCAAGACGAUGAUACGUAGCCGACCUGAGAGGGUGAUUGGCCACAUUGGGACUGAGACACGGCCCAAACUCCUACGGGAGGCAGCAGUAGGGAAUCUUCCGCAAUGGACGAAAGUCUGACGGAGCAACGCCGCGUGAGUGAAGAAAGGUUUUCGGAUCGUAAAACUCUGUUGUCAGAGAAGAACAAGUUGGAGAGUAACUGCUCCAGCCUUGACGGUAUCUGACCAGAAAGCCACGGCUAACUACGUGCCAGCCGCGGC
rnacentral:rRNA from 1 species